rnacentral:rRNA from 1 species
UACGUAGGGCGCAAGCGUUGUCCGGAAUUCUUGGGCGUAAAGAGCUCGUAGGCGGCUUGUCACGUCGGAUGUGAAAGCCCGGGGCUUAACUCCGGGUCUGCAUUCGAUACGGGCUGGCUAGAGUGUGGUAGGGGAGAUCGGAAUUCCUGGUGUAGCGGUGAAAUGCGCAGAUAUCAGGAGGAACACCGGUGGCGAAGGCGGAUCUCUGGGCCAUUACUGACGCUGAGGAGCGAAAGCAUGGGGAGCGAACAGG